rnacentral:rRNA from 1 species
UGAUGCAGCAACGCCGCGUGAGUGAUGACGGCCUUCGGGUUGUAAAGCUCUGUCUUCAGGGACGAUAAUGACGGUACCUGAGGAGGAAGCCACGGCUAACUACGUGCCAGCAGCCGCGGUAAUACGUAGGUGGCGAGCGUUGUCCGGAUUUACUGGGCGUAAAGGGAGCGUAGGUGGAUUUUUAAGUGAGAUGUGAAAUACUCGGGCUUAACCUGAGUGCUGCAUUUCAAACUGGAAGUCUAGAGUGCAGGAGAGGAGAAGGGAAUUCCUAGUGUAGCGGUGAAAUGCGUAGAGAUUAGGAAGAACACCAGUGGCGAAGGCGCUUCUCUGGACUGUAACUGACGCUGAGGCUCGAAAGCGUGGGGAGCAAACAGGAUUAGAUACCCUGGUAGUCCACGCCGUAAACGAUGAGUACUAGCUGUCGGAGGUUACCCCCUUCGGUGGCGCAGCUAACGCAUUAAGUAUUCCGCCUGGGGAGUACGGUCGCAAGAUUAAAACUCAAAGGAAUUGACGGGGGCCCGCACAAGCAGCGGAGCAUGUGGUUUAAUUCGAAGCAACGCGAAGAACCUUACCUAGACUUGACAUCUCCUGCAUUACUCUUAAUCGAGGAAGUCCCUUCAGGGACAGGAUGACAGGUGGUGCAUGGUUGUCGUCAGCUCGUGUCGUGAGAUGUUGGGUUAAGUCCCGCAACGAGCGCAACCCUUAUUGUUAGUUGCCAUCAUUAAGUUGGGCACUCUAGCGAGACUGCCCGGGUUAACCGGGAGGAAGGUGGGGAUGACGUCAAAUCAUCAUGCCCCUUAUGUCUAGGGCUACACACGUGCUACAAUGGUCGGUACAAUAAGACGCAAGCCCGCGAGGGGGAGCAAAACUGGAAAACCGAUCUCAGUUCGGAUUGUAGGCUGAAACUCGCCUACAUGAAGCUGGAGUUGCUAGUAAU